rnacentral:tRNA from 1 species
AUUUCUAUUUAAUUAGGUUAAAAAACCAUUACACUUUCAUUGUAAAAUUAAAUUUUUCUUUAUUAAA